UACGUAGGGUGCAAGCGUUAAUCGGAAUUACUGGGCGUAAAGCGUGCGCAGGCGGUUAUAUAAGACAGAUGUGAAAUCCCCGGGCUCAACCUGGGAACUGCAUUUGUGACUGUAUAGCUAGAGUACGGUAGAGGGGGAUGGAAUUCCGCGUGUAGCAGUGAAAUGCGUAGAUAUGCGGAGGAACACCGAUGGCGAAGGCAAUCCCCUGGGCCUGUACUGACGCUCAUGCACGAAAGCGUGGGGAGCAAACAGG
rnacentral:rRNA from 1 species